rnacentral:misc_RNA from 1 species
GUGAAUUCAAUUUUCUCCUCUCGGGGAGUGCAGCUGUGGGCCCUCGUGCUCGCAGUUGUGGAAUACACAUCCAUAACACCUGUGAAAUGUCUGUCAAGAACAAGGCUUCGGUCUUGGACUUGUACACUUUACCAAACUUACUCUGUAAAAAAUGUCAUCUUAUUAUAAACUUAAUA